GGUAGCGUGAUUCUUGUUUUCUUAAUUAGAAAUCUGUUCAAAGAAUGAAAUGAAGAGAAUCUAUUGUUUCUAUAUAAAGUUAACUUAAAAUGUUAGUGAAAAUUCUGACUAGUUCUUAAAAGACGAGAAGACCCCAUAAAACUUAAUUUGAUCUCUUUACCAAGUGUUUAAAAUUUAAAUGGGGACUUUCGAGUAUACUAAUAACUCAAAGACCUAUAUUUAUAUUAUUAGCGAAGCUACUUUGGGGAUAACAGGGUAAAAUAUUUAGAGAGUUCAUAUCGAUAAAUAUCUCUACUACCUCGAUGUUGGAUUAUC
rnacentral:rRNA from 1 species